AGGUAAUCUGUAUCUCUGGCCUCCUUGUCUGACUGAGUGGAUUCAUUGCUCCUGUAUGUGUUAUCACAGAAGUGAACUUGCCUCUUGUGGAGAACAAAAACAUCUAUUCAGAGUAACAACUGUUUUUGGUAUGCACAGAAUUUAAGGUGCUUAAGAAGAUGGGAAGCCCUACAACAUUAUGCCGUUGGUCUAAAAGCACCAGAUGAAAUCAGGCUGGAGUGCAGUGGCAUGAUCAUGACUCGCUCCUUU
rnacentral:lncRNA from 1 species